UAGGGAAUCUUCGGCAAUGGACGAAAGUCUGACCGAGCAACGCCGCGUGAGUGAAGAAGGUUUUCGGAUCGUAAAACUCUGUUGUUAGAGAAGAACAAGGACGUUAGUAACUGAACGUCCCCUGACGGUAUCUAACCAGAAAGCCACGGCUAACUACGUGCCAGCAGCCGCGGUAAUACGUAGGUGGCAAGCGUUGUCCGGAUUUAUUGGGCGUAAAGCGAGCGCAGGCGGUUUCUUAAGUCUGAUGUGAAAGCCCCCGGCUCAACCGGGGAGGGUCAUUGGAAACUGGGAGGCUUGAGUGCAGAAGAGGAGAGUGGAAUUCCAUGUUUAGCGGUGAAAUGCGUAGAUAUAUGGAGGAACACCAGUGGCGAAGGCGGCUCUCUGGUCUGUGACUGACGCUGAGGCUCGAGAGCGUGGGGAGCAAACAGG
rnacentral:rRNA from 1 species